rnacentral:rRNA from 1 species
GAUGAACGCUGGCGGCGUGCUUAACACAUGCAAGUCGAACGGUGAACACGGAGCUUGCUCUGUGGGAUCAGUGGCGAACGGGUGAGUAACACGUGAGCAACCUGCCCCUGACUCUGGGAUAAGCGCUGGAAACGGCGUCUAAUACUGGAUAUGUGACGUGACCGCAUGGUCUGCGUUUGGAAAGAUUUUUCGGUUGGGGAUGGGCUCGCGGCCUAUCAGCUUGUUGGUGAGGUAAUGGCUCACCAAGGCGUCGACGGGUAGCCGGCCUGAGAGGGUGAUCGGCCACACUGGGACUGAGACACGGCCCAGACUCCUACGGGAGGCAGCAGUGGGGAAUAUUGCACAAUGGGCGCAAGCCUGAUGCAGCAACGCCGCGUGAGGGAUGACGGCCUUCGGGUUGUAAACCUCUUUUAGCAGGGAAGAAGCGAAAGUGACGGUACCUGCAGAAAAAGCGCCGGCUAACUACGUG